UUUAGACUCCUAUAAAAGGCAUUGUAUUUCAAAGCUUGUAUGCACAAGAACAACACAUAAAUUCACAUGCAUAUAGUCUCUCAUUAACUUAAAGAUAUUUUAAGCAAUAUGUCAUCCAUGAAGGCUGAUAAACCUGUUGGGACCCAACUUUUUGGGCAGACCAAGAAAGAAGCUACUCCUCCUAAAGCUAGUAAAAGUGCAUCCAAGGGUCCAGCUGCAAAAUCAAGCUCAAAGAAAGCACCACAGAAGUCUCAAGAUUCUAAGAAAAAGGUAUCUUAUUUUAGAAACUAUCAUUUCAUUCAUAUAUCAUUAGGUGUGACAAAAUUGAUGCAUUGUGGGUUUAAUCAUGACUAUGAUAUUUUGUGCUUGGGUUAAAAAAAUUAAGCAUUUUAUGUUUUAUUGUGCAUAGGGAAAAGGAAGCAAAGCAGCUGCAAAAAACUAGCCAUAUUUGGUGAAGGAAACUAUUGGGUGUUACAAAAAGAAGUUAUACCUAUAUUGGAUAUAAUAAUACUUGUAUCUCAUUUUCUUGUUGUAGCCCAGGGGUUCUGGCCUCAAUGAAUAGCUUGCUUUAUACUUGAUGAUAUAAUCAAAAUAAAAUGUUUUGCUUUAAAACAUUCACAAAAUUCUUAAUUAUCUCGCUUUUAUAGAUAUUUACCUUAAAGUUUAGGAGUUUAAUUUGUAUUAUGAUUAUUAUUAUUACAUCCUUUAUAAUUUGUGUUUUAUUUCC
rnacentral:lncRNA from 1 species